rnacentral:tRNA from 1 species
AGGGCAUUAGCUCAUUUGGUAAGAGCGCCUGCUUUGCAACGGGAGGUGGCCAGUUCAGGCCCGGCAUGCUCUU